CACCUCUAGCAUUACCAGUAUUAGAGGCACUGCCUGCCCAGUGACAUUAGUUUAACGGCCGCGGUAUCCUGACCGUGCAAAGGUAGCAUAAUCAUUUGUUCCUUAAUUAGGGACUUGUAUGAAUGGCCCCACGAGGGUUUAACUGUCUCUUACUUUUAAUCAGUGAAAUUGACCUUCCCGUGAAGAGGCGGGAAUACAAAAAUAAGACGAGAAGACCCUAUGGAGCUUAAAUUAAAGUGUCCAACAAAAUUUAAACUUAAUCCAACAGGAAUAAUAACAUUUUAACUGGACAACAAAUUUUGGUUGGGGUGACCUCGGAGUAUAACAAAACCUCCGAGCGAUUUAACCAAGACUUACCCGUCAAGGUGUCAUAAUUUAUUGAUCCAAUCAUAUUGAUCAACGAAACAAGUUACCCUAGGGAUAACAGCGCAAUCCUAUUUAAGAGUCCAUAUCGACAAUAGGGUUUACGACCUCGAUGUUGGAUCAGGACCCCCAAAUGGUGCAGCAGCUAUUAAAGGUUCGUUUGUUCAACG
rnacentral:rRNA from 1 species